GGGAAUAUUGCGCAAUGGAGGAAACUCUGACGCAGUGACGCCGCGUGCAGGAAGAAGGUUUUCGGAUUGUAAACUGCUUUAGACAGGGAAGAAACAAGACAGUACCUGUAGAAUAAGCUCCGGCUAACUACGUGCCAGCAGCCGCGGUAAUACGUAGGGGGCAAGCGUUAUCCGGAUUUACUGGGUGUAAAGGGAGCGUAGGUGGCAGGGCAAGUCAGAUGUGAAAACCCGGGGCUCAACCCCGGGAGUGCAUUUGAAACUGUCCAGCUGGAGUGCAGGAGAGGUAAGCGGAAUUCCUAGUGUAGCGGUGAAAUGCAUAGAUAUUAGGAGGAACACCAGUGGCGAAGGCGGCUUACUGGACUGUAACUGACACUGAGGCUCGAAAGCGUGGGGAGCAAACAG
rnacentral:rRNA from 1 species